GCCGUGAGGUGUUGCCUUAAGUGGCGCAACGAGCGCAACCCCUGUCCUUAGUUGCCAGCGGGUGAUGCCGGGAACUCUAGGGAGACUGCCGGUGCCAAACCGGAGGAAGGUGGGGAUGACGUCAAGUCAUCAUGCCCCUUAUGUCCAGGGCUGCACGCAUGCUACAAUGCGCGGUACAGAGGGCUGCGAUCCCGUAAGGGGGAGCGAAUCCCAGAAAGCCGUGCUCAGUUCGGAUCGAGGUCUGCAACCCGACCUCGUGAAGUCGGAGUCGCUAGUAAUCGCAGAUCAGCAAUGCUGCGGUGAAUACGUUCCCGGGCCUUGUACACACCGCCCGUCACACCACGAAAGUGGGCAACACCCGAAGCCGGUGGCCCAACCCUUGUGGAGGGAGCCGUCGAAGGUGGGGCUCGCGAUUGGGGUGAAGUCGUAACAAGGUAACCGUAGCGGAAGCUGCGGCUGGAUCACCUCCUUUCUAAGGAGUUAUUGGCAACCCGUUCCGCCGGAUUUCAUGAGGCGGAUACGGAAGCUCCAGGUUGAUCAUCUGCUCGAGACACGCUGUUCAGCUUUGAGGGUGCGACCCUCGAGCAUCUUGAGAACUCGAUAGCGAGCGCGAGCAUCUAGAAGUCAAGUGAACAAGGGCUUACGGUGGAUGCCUUGGCGCCAGGAGCCGAAGAAGGACGCGUCAGGCUGCGAAAAGCCUCGGGGAGCUGCCGAGAAAGCUGUGAUCCGAGGGUAU
rnacentral:sRNA from 1 species